rnacentral:antisense_RNA from 1 species
AGUCUCAUGAGAUCUAAUGGUAUUUUAAGGGGAAACCCCUUUCGCUUGGCUCUCAUUCUCUUCUCUUGUCUGCCGCCAUGUGAGUUGUGCCUUUCACCUUCUGCCAUGAUUGUGAGGCCUCCCCAGCCACAUGGAACUGUAAGUUCAUUAAACCUCUUUCUUUUGUAAAUUGCCCAGUUUCGGGUAUGUCUUUAUCAACAGUGUGAAAAUGGACGAAUGCACUAAUGCAACAGGCUCCCUGGUCUCCCACCUUCUCGGACUAAGUCCUCUGCAGUGUUGACUCCGUGUUCUAUGAGCUUCUGGCAGUCAUCUAGUGGUUUAAUGGUCUCCUGUUCAAUGGUGUCCACCUCUUGCAAAAGGGUCACCAAUCGCUCAUCCAGGAGCUUUCCAAGGGUUCCCUUUAAAUCAUUAAAAUGCUGUUUGAGAA